ACGAACGCUGGCGGCACGCUUAACACAUGCAAGUCGAACGAGAGAAGAGGAGCUUGCUUUUCUGAUCUAGUGGCGGACGGGUGAGUAACACGUGAGCAAUCUGCCUUUCAGAGGGGGAUACCGAUUGGAAACGAUCGUUAAUACCGCAUAACAUAAUUGAACCGCAUGAUUUGAUUAUCAAAGAUUUAUCGCUGAAAGAUGAGCUCGCGUCUGAUUAGCUAGUUGGUAAGGUAACGGCUUACCAAGGCGACGAUCAGUAGCCGGACUGAGAGGUUGAUCGGCCACAUUGGGACUGAGACACGGCCCAGACUCCUACGGGAGGCAGCAGUGGGGAAUAUUGCACAAUGGAGGAAACUCUGAUGCAGCGAUGCCGCGUGAGGGAAGAAGGUUUUAGGAUUGUAAACCUCUGUCUUCAGGGACGAAAAAAGACGGUACCUGAGGAGGAAGCUCCGGCUAACUACGUGCCAGCAGCCGCGGUAAUACGUAGGGAGCGAGCGUUGUCCGGAAUUACUGGGUGUAAAGGGAGCGUAGGCGGGAUCGCAAGUCAGAUGUGAAAACUAUGGGCUUAACCCAUAAACUGCAUUUGAAACUGUGGUUCUUGAGUGAAGUAGAGGUAAGCGGAAUUCCUAGUGUAGCGGUGAAAUGCGUAGAUAUUAGUAGGAACAUCAGUGGCGAAGGCGGCUUACUGGGCUUUAACUGACGCUGAGGCUCGAAAGCGUGGGGAGCAAACAGGAUUAGAUACCCUGGUAGUCCACGCCGUAAACGAUGAUUACUAGGUGUGGGGGGACUGACCCCUUCCGUGCCGCAGCAAACGCAAUAAGUAAUCCACCUGGGGAGUACGACCGCAAGGUUGAAACUCAAAGGAAUUGACGGGGGCCCGCACAAGCAGUGGAGUAUGUGGAUUAAUUCGAAGCAACGCGAAGAACCUUACCAGGUCUUGACAUCGUAUGCAUAGCUCAGAGAUGAGUGAAAUCUCUUCGGAGACAUAUAGACAGGUGGUGCAUGGUUGUCGUCAGCUCGUGUCGUGAGAUGUUGGGUUAAGUCCCGCAACGAGCGCAACCCUUACUGUUAGUUGCUACGCAAGAGCACUCUAGCAGGACUGCCGUUGACAAAACGGAGGAAGGUGGGGAUGACGUCAAAUCAUCAUGCCCCUUAUGACCUGGGCCUCACACGUACUACAAUGGCUGUCAACAGAGGGAUGCAAAGCCGCGAGGUGGAGCGAACCCCUAAAAGCAGUCUUAGUUCGGAUUGUAGGCUGCAACCCGCCUACAUGAAGUCGGAAUUGCUAGUAAUCGCAGAUCAGCAUGCUGCGGUGAAUACGUUCCCGGGCCUUGUACACACCGCCCGUCACGCCAUGGGAGUCGGUAACACCCGAAGCCUGUAGUCUAACCGCAAGGAGGACGCAGUCGAAGGUGGGAUUGAUGACUGGGGUG
rnacentral:rRNA from 1 species